rnacentral:rRNA from 1 species
AGAGUUUGAUCAUGGCUCAGAUUGAACGCUGGCGGCAGGCUUAACACAUGCAAGUCGAGCGCGCGUAGCAAUACGUGAGCGGCAGACGGGAGAGUAACACGUGGGAACGUACCUUUCGGUUCGGAAUAACUCAGGGAAACUUGAGCUAAUACCGGAUACGCCCGCAAGGGGAAAGAUUUAUCGCCGGAAGAUCGGCCCGC